rnacentral:lncRNA from 1 species
GAAAGACACAGGAGAUGCAAUCUGAGUUCAAAUAAAAUAUCCCUGCUCCUCUCCUUUGACAGGCUGUGCUGAUCCCAUGGAGUCCUCACCAUAAAAAGUUGCCCAGUGAUGCUCUGAAGAGUUAAUCAGCAAGUUCACACCACCUGGAAUGGAAAUUUCUAGAGAUGAAUAUUCUCCUUGCUCCAGGACUUGAGGGCUGACAAUAUUUGCACAGAGCUACAAACUCCAAGCUCAAGGAGAAGUAAAAGUUGUUCAUGCUGGCAAUGCUCAGCCUCACCUGGCAGGAAAAGGUGACCAUUCCAGGGGAGAAGAAACCAAAGACUGACAGCAAAUUUGCUGGUUACCAAGCU